rfam:Salmo salar isolate Sally breed double haploid chromosome ssa16, whole genome shotgun sequence.
UGCAUUCACUACUGUAAAUCGCUCUGGAUAAGAGCGUCUGCUAAAUGUAAAUGU